UGAUUGGUCAAUUUGGAGUUGGAUUCUAUUCCGCAAUAUUCCUUGUUGCUGACAAGGUUGUUGUGUCUACAAAGAGCCCAAGGUCAGAUAAGCAGUAUGUCUGGGAAGCCGUUGCUGACAGUAGUUCUUAUGUGAUAAGAGAAGAAACUGAUCCUGAAAAACUCCUACAGCAUGGAACACAGAUUACCUUAUACCUAAGGCCAGAUGAUAAAUUUGAAUUCUUGGAGCCUACUAAGAUUCAAAGUUUGGUGAAGAAUUACUCACAGUUUGUUUCCUUCCCUAUUUAAACUAGGCAAGAGAAAUCAUGGACUGUA